CCCGUACUCCAGGCACACGACUCGGUGUGGGGAGAAGGCUCCAUGAUGGAAACCACUGCUCAUUCCAAAGGAUCCAUGCAGUUUGGGCUUGGUGCCGUGGCCGCGUGCGGCGGAAAGGAGGUUUCUACAGGAUCGUUGAUUUCAGUCUGAAAGGAACCAUCUUCAACUGCUGUUGCUCAUGGAAGGAGGACUCCAGGUGUCCCACAGACUGCACACCAGAAAAUGUAAGUGAACAGAACAAAACCACACGUGUCAACUGGGUUUCACUCAUUCUGAUAGGUGUCAUACCGCCAAAUGCACUGCGUGACAGAGUGCUGCCUUUCUGACCCUUGGUGUAAUGCUCAUUAGAAGAAAUAGCCUUGGAAUUACUUUCUUUAAAGAAAAGCAGAAGCUGAAAAGUAACCAGGUAAAAACUGCAGGUAAUGUGUGGGACAGUAUUUCCAUCAACUGAGGUGUUAGUGUUUCUGUGCUGUGUGGCUUGCACUCGUGCUGGCAAGGCAAGGGAAAGCAGGCCAAAUGUGCACCCAGCCAUAAGUCUUCUGUUCCUCUGACAACCAAAUGAUUCAAGCAUCUGUACAACCAGCUGAUGAAGAACAAAUAAAAUGGAACUUCAAGUGUGCAAUUUUUCGGUUUGCUCAUAAUCAAAAACAGAAAAAAAGACAAAUUAAGCAACUUGAAUUUUCAAUAGGGCAUUCAUAGAGCCAAGCACUGAAAGAAAUCAUCACAACUUAGUUCUGCUUCCAGGAGAAAUACCUGGCUUCUUCAAACUGCUAGGUGUGGAACUUCUGUGAAAAUGAGAUAAUUGGAGCUGAGGAAUCUUUUGUGUGCAGAGUUGCAUAAAUUUAGUAUAGACAAACUAUUACCGUGACAAUGGUGGUAGCAGUGAGUAAUGUUAACCAGCUGACUUUGUAAUCAAGCUGUCUAUAAGCAGUGGAACAAAUCUUUGGUGGGUGACUGCAUCAACUAAUCGUGAACAGUGGAGGGUGAUGAGCUUUAGCAGUUUUAGAUGGAGUAGUUUGAGGUGUUAUUUGCUCAUAGAGUAAGGUGUGAUUAAAGUUGGCGAAUUAACCUUACAAAAGGCUUCACUGACAUUUUACCCAUAGCUUAUUUUUAUUUGACUCAAGAGGAACCACCCAGUUAAGUCAUCUGUUUAAACUGAAUGUGUCCACCUUAGGGGUUUGCCCAGGUUUAACUAAAACUCUUGAGAUAAAAGGGCAGCAAGUUCUGUAUAGGGAAAACAUUCCUUUUACUGUAGUCUUGGCUGUUCUUAAAAUGUAACUUCUCUUGUGCUUCCUAAACUAAUUGAAACAUGAAGGCAGGACAGGGAGCCAGCUCUGAGGAGCUAAAACAUUUCUUUAUCCAAACUGUUGAGUCAAUUGGUCCUUUCCUUAUUCAUGCUGGGGCAGCUGGAAGAAUCCCUGAAGCUUUUUCCAAAUGCCAAUCUGUAACAUAAGCUAGGGAAGGGUAGACUUUCAAUGCUGCAGCUGCUGCCUGACCCUGGCUUGCUUAGUUAGUGACCUCAGCAAUAUUCACGGUCUCCACAGGCCUAGAGAAGGAAGCCUGUGGUGAGCUGCCAUGUGGUCUGGUUUGUCGGCCUCAUGUGCAGGUUCCAGGCCACUGAGGUACCUGGAAAUCAUCACACUGUGCACGUCAAAUGGCUCUUAGGUUCCCACUUGCAUGUAUCAGUGAUCUUCCCGUUGUGUGUGCUGACUCUUUGAAACUGCAGGGUUAAGUGUUUCUUUGCUUAUAAGAAACAAAGCUGACUUUCAUACUGCUUUUUGUAGGUAAUUCCCUUCCAUGCUUAUUGCUACUGUCUCCUUAGAGCUGGUGUUGCUUCGUAUUGAAGACAAAAAUUAAUCUUUGUGUAGUAAAAGCUGUGUGCAACUUGCAUAGCACCUUUUAGCCGAGGACUUUGGGAAACAUUGAAAGCAUUAAACUCCUGUUAUAAACACUA